UACGGGGGGGGCAAGCGUUGUUCGGAAUUACUGGGCGUAAAGGGCUCGUAGGUGGCCAACUAAGUCAGACGUGAAAUCCCUCGGCUUAACCGGGGAACUGCGUCUGAUACUGGAUGGCUUGAGUUUGGGAGAGGGAUGCGGAAUUCCAGGUGUAGCGGUGAAAUGCGUAGAGAUGUGGAGGAACACCGAUGGCGAAGGCAGCCUUCUGGGCCAACACUGACGCUCAUGCACGAAAGCGUGGGGAGCAAACAGG
rnacentral:rRNA from 1 species